rnacentral:rRNA from 1 species
UACGUAGGGGGCAAGCGUUGUCCGGAUUCAUUGGGCGUAAAGAGCGUGUAGGCGGCCCGGUAGGUCAGCUGUGAAAACUCGAGGCUCAACCUCGAGACGCCGGUUGAAACCAUCUGGCUAGAGUCCGGAAGAGGAGAGUGGAAUUCCUGGUGUAGCGGUGAAAUGCGCAGAUAUCAGGAAGAACACCCGUGGCUAAGGCGGCUCUCUAGUACGGUACUGACGCUGAGACGCGAAAGCGUGGGGAGCGAACAGG